rnacentral:rRNA from 1 species
UACGUAGGCAGCAAGCGUUGUUCGGAGUUACUGGGCGUAAAGGGUGCGUAGGCGGCUUCUUAAGUUUGGUGUGAAAUCUCCCGGCUCAACUGGGAGGGUGCGCCGAAUACUGAGAGGCUAGAGUGUGGGAGAGGAAAGUGGAAUUCCAGGUGUAGCGGUGAAAUGCGUAGAUAUCUGGAGGAACACCGGUGGUGUAAACGGCUUUCUGGACCAUUACUGACGCUGAUGCACGAAAGCGUGGGUAGCAAACAGG